rnacentral:rRNA from 1 species
UACGUAGGGUGCAAGCGUUGUCCGGAAUUAUUGGGCGUAAAGAGCUCGUAGGCGGUUCGUCGCGUCGGCUGUGAAAACCUGAGGCUCAACCUCAGGCCUGCAGUCGAUACGGGCGGACUUGAGUACUGCAGGGGAGACUGGAAUUCCUGGUGUAGCGGUGAAAUGCGUAGAUAUCUGGAGGAACACCGGUGGCGAAGGCGGCAUCCUGGACCAAUACUGACGCUGAGGAGCGAAAGCCAGGGGAGCAAACGGG